AACGAACGCUGGCGGCAUGCCUAACACAUGCAAGUCGAACGAGACCUUCGGGUCUAGUGGCGCACGGGUGCGUAACGCGUGGGAACCUGCCCUUAGGUUCGGAAUAACUCCCCGAAAGGGGUGCUAAUACCGGAUAAUGUCUUCGGACCAAAGAUUUAUCGCCUUUGGAUGGGCCCGCGUUGGAUUAGCUAGUUGGUAGGGUAAAAGCCUACCAAGGCGACGAUCCAUAGCUGGUCUGAGAGGAUGAUCAGCCACACUGGGACUGAGACACGGCCCAGACUCCUGCGGGAGGCAGCAGUGGGGAAUAUUGGACAAUGAGCGAAAGCCUGAUCCAGCAAUGCCGCGUGAGUGAUGAAGGGCUUAGGGUUGUAAAGCUCUUUUACCCGGGAUGAUAAUGACGGUACCGGGAGAAUAAGCUCCGGCUAACUCCGU
rnacentral:rRNA from 1 species